rnacentral:lncRNA from 1 species
UUUUGGGAUGUGAGUGGUGGGCUCUCUUGGCUGGGCCAACCCACGAGCGCGUGAACGCUCGAAGCUGUCGAGUGUGGGCUGGGCCGGGGGUUGGGCGGUGACAUCUGGUAUCAGAGCCCGGUUGGCCCAUGCCUGCCUUGGGGGGCUUCCCAAGGGGGGUGGGAUGUCAGGGGCCGGUAGUUAGUGCCUCGGCUUUAGUCCCACAUCGGCUAGCCAAGGGGGCCGUGGGCAGCUUAAAAAGGGAGAGUUCCCCUCCUCUCAUCAGCCUGGCUUUUGGGAUGUGAGUGGUGGGCUCUCAUGGCUGGGCCGGCCCACGAGCGCAUGAACGCUCGAAGCUGUCGAGUGUGGGCUGGACCGGGGGUUGGACGCUGACAUCUGGUAUCAGAGCCUGGUUGGCCCAUGCCUGCCUUGGGGGGCUUCCUAAGGGGGGUGGGAUGUCAGGGGCCGAUAGUCAGUGCCUCGGCUUUAGUCCCACAUCGGCUAGCCAAGGGGCCGUGGGUAGCUUAAAAAGGGAGAGUUCCCCUCCUCUCAUCAGCCUGGCUUUUGGAAUGUGAGUGGUGGGCUCUCUUGGCUGGGCCGGCCCACGAGCGCAUGAACGCUCGAAGCUGUCGAGUGUAGGCUGGGCCGGAGGUUGGACGCUGACAUCUGGUAUCAGAGCCCGGUUGGCCCAUGCCUGCCUUGGGGGGCUUCCCAAGGGGGUGGGAUGUCAGGGGCCGGUAGUCAGUGCCUCGGCUUUAGUCCCACAUCGGCUAGCCAAGGGGGCCGUGGGCAGCUUAAAAAGGGAGAGUUCCCCUCCUCUCAUCAGCCUGGCUUUUGAGAUGUGAGUGGUGGGCUCUCUUGGCUGGGCCGGCCCACGAGCGCAUGAACGCUCGAAGCUAUCGAGUGUGGGCUGGGCCGGGGUUGGACACUGACAUCUGGUAUCAGAGCCCGCUUGGCCCAUGCCUGCCUUGGGGGGCUUCCCAAGGGGGUGGGAUGUCAGGGGCCGGUAGUCAGUGCCUCGGCUUUAGUCCCACAUCGGCUAGCCAAGGGGGCCGCGGGCAGCUUAAAAAGGGAGAGUUCCCCUCCUCUCAUCAGCCUGGCUUUUGGGAUGUGAGUGGUGGGCUCUCUUGGCUGGGCCGGCCCACGAGCGCAUGAACGCUCGAAGCUGUCGAGUGUGGGCUGGGCCGGGGGUUGGACGCUGACAUCUGGUAUCAGAGCCUGGUUGGCCCAUGCCUGCCUUGGGGGGCUUCCUAAGGGGGGUGGGAUGUCAGGGGCCGAUAGUCAGUGCCUCGGCUUUAGUCCCACAUCGGCUAGCCAAGGGGGCCGUGGGCAGCUUAAAAAGGGAGAGUUCCCCUCCUCUCAUCAGCCUGGCUUUUGGGAUGUGAGUGGUGGGCUCUUUUGGCUGGGCCGGCCCACGAGCGCAUGAACGCUCGAAGCUGUCGAGUGUGGGCUGAGCCGGAGGUUGGACGCUGACAUCUGGUAUCAGAGCCCGGUUGGCCCAUGCCUGCCUUGGGGGGCUUCCCAAGGGGGGUGGGAUGUCAGGGGCCGGUAGUCAGUGCCUCGGCUUUAGUCCCACAUCGGCUAGCCAAGGGGGCCGUGGGCAGCUUAAAAAGGGAGAGUUCCCCUCCUCUCAUCAGCCUGGCUUUUGAGAUGUGAGUGGUGGGCUCUCUUGGCUGGGCCGGCCCACGAGCGCAUGAACGCUCGAAGCUAUCGAGUGUGGGCUGGGCCGGGGGUUGGACAUUGACAUCUGGUAUCAGAGCUCGCUUGGCCCAUGCCUGCCUUGGGGGGCUUCCCAAGGGGGGUGGGAUGUCAGGGGCCGGUAGUCAGUGCCUCGGCUUUAGUCCCACAUCGGCUAGCCAAGGGGGCCGUGGGCAGCUUAAAAAGGGAGAGUUCCCCUCCUCUCAUCAGCCUGGCU